GGUGUGCUUUUGGGAAUAUAUUUGGUCCCUGGCUCUUUCUCUCCCUGCUUCUCGGGUGCCAUAAACUGGGCAGCUUUCCUCCACCGCGUCCUUCUGCCGUGGGGCCUGCCUGGUCUUGGCCCAGGUAAUGGCCCAGCCGAGACCUCUGAAACUGUGAGUCAAAAUAAACGUCUCCUUCCUUACCUUGCUCUUGUCAAGUACUUUGGUCACAACAAAAGCUGACCAACACAAGUGUCAUGAAUUCUUGAGAAAAUUCUUGACAAAACCAGCCAUGCCGAGGGACCUUACGCAUCUUGUCUCGUUUUGGUCGAGACGUUUCUGUUCAGAUCGACGGGUGGUGUCUCCUUCUGGAUCCAGCCGUGCUGGCCUCUGGAACCUAGAUCGUGGCCUGACUUUGCUGGGGGUCAGGCCACAUAGGCCAGUACCACUGCUGCCACAGAGACACCUGGAAACGUCAGCUGCCUGCACAGGAGAGGCUUACUUCUGACUCAAAAAGCAGAGAGGACUGUGUUCAAGGUGGUGCCUUAGGGACCCAGGCCCCUUCCAUCUUCCUGCCCUGCCGUGUCAACCCUAGGCCAGAGGAGGGGACAGAGGUGGCAGUGGCCUCCUUAUGCCCUGUGAACAACCCACGUCCUGCUCCCUUCUGUUGUGAGAACUGGCCACAUGGGCCUGGACACAGGUUUGACUAUGGGCAGAGCACUCCAAAGUGCAUUCAUCAAAGGCUUGGCCCAAAGGAUGCUGUGUGACGGGUUGGGGCCUAGCCACUAGGGUGAGCCCUCACCGGGGACUGGGAACUGCCGCUUUCUUUCUCUCUGGGUUGAGACGUGACCGCUUGCUCCCACAGGAGCUCCUGCGUGGUCGCCUGGCACCUCACGGAGUCUCCAACCAAUGGAAUCUCCCAAAUUUUGAGCUUCAUCAAAAUGUUCUCUUUAAAAAGUUGCCUCAAGUGUUUUGUUACCAUGACAGAAAUAUAAAGGGGUUGCUGGGAAAUGGGGUUGGCUGGUGAGUCAGAGCUCUCCAUGAUGGAAGGGGCUUGGGGAUCCCCAUAUAGUCAUGAGCCACCUAGCAGGGACACGGCAGGGAAGUCCGCGGUUGUGGGGACAUCACAGAGGGCACUGUUGCUCAGAUGCUGCGGUGUCACCAGAGACGGGAUUGUGUGGGACCCCCUGCUGUGUGGACGGCUGGUUAUGGGCUGCAGCAUCCUCUGGUGGUGCAUGACUAGCCCCGAGCAGCAGGCUGUGCUCAGAGACAGCUAACGGCCGCUCCAGGAGGGUGGGUGGGAAGAAGGGUGGCCAGAGAGACACAGAGUGUGGCACAGACUCCUCCCCAGUCUCCCUCUCCGAUCCAUUUUCUUUCCUGGAAUCUCAGGACAAAGCCACAGGUAAAUUCGGAGGCUGGGGAGCAUUCCUGGCUGCCCGAUGCUGGGUGACGAUGCUGGGUGACGGAUGCUGGGUCACGGAUGCUGGGUGACGGGAGGAGGUGCGUUCACUGGGGCAGCCUCCCCUCUGUGGGGAUGAGGAGGGGGAGGCCACGCUGCAGAUCUGGAGAAGCCAGCGAAUCAAUAAGUCUGACAAAGCCAGGCCCACGACACCGAGGCCGCCUCUUUCCUGCGGAGGUGUGCUCCCUCGGUGACGGUGACGGUGACGUGGAGGCAGCUGCGUUUCCCUGGCAACGUCACCUGAUCCCAGCACUGUGGGCGCAGACACUGAUUCCAGGGUUCUCUUCUUUAAUGACAAAGAGCUAAAAAUGAAUUUCAUUCCCAAAAAGCCACGGCCUCUAAGGAGAUGCUAUGCCGUGCUCAUGCCCUCUGUAGGAGGAGACAGCUGGCAAGGUGGACAGUGCCGGGCCCUGAGGGCUGAGUGGGGACAGGGAUGCUUCCCUUCCACCCAAGACCUGUGUCCCAGGAACAGGAGACCCUGUCUGCCCUCAGGCUCUCCACUGCCCUGUGCCACUGGAAGAGUGUCGCUGAACUAUGUUGUCCAUGCCUGGGACUCCCACUCUAGUCCUGGAGGGUUCUGGAAGGAUUGAGCUGGCACCACUGAGUGCCAGGGUGGUGGGCAGGGGAGAGCCCCCACUGAGUGCCCAGCCUUCAGGAGGGCUGCUGAGAAGUGUGGAUUCCACCUGGGAAGCGGCUCCCGGGAGUCAGGGGCUGGGACUGGGCCCUGGCGGGCGGCCAGACCCACAGACCCACGAAGAGUGCUCCACGCCAACCCCGGUGCGCCAGGGCCUGGCUGGGUGACCCUGGCCCACAGGACCUCAUCGCUGAGCUUCAGGGUCUUGACAAGACGGCAGCAGGGUCCGCUGGGGGCGCUCCAGGGACGGCUCAGCACACUGUUGACCAGUCAGCUGCGCGAAUCAAGGAAGGCGGUUUCUCCUCUUUAGAGUCGUCCUUAAGAUGUCCCCAGUCCAGGACCGACAUUGGCACAGGCCAAGCCUUUGCACACUAGAAACAAUGCUCUGCCGGUGGCGCCUUCACGACGGGAGCGUGGUCUUCGUCCCCCGAGAGGAGAGGCAGAGGCCCGGCCUCCCGGUCAGCCUGCAGCAGGCCUGGCCAUGCUGUUGGGGGCUCAGAGACAAAGCCCCAGCGCGGCACUGCGACAUGCUCAGUGCUCUGAACUAGAGACACAGCCUCAAAUCUGGGUCUCCCUCGCUGUCCCCGGCCUCUCCAGCACAGGCAGGGCUGUCCCCAGGUUCUCCUGCCCUGCCCAGGGGCAGCCCCUCCGGACGGGGAGGAUGGACUGGCAGAGGAGGCCGCGAGUCAAGCCCACAGCCCCGCCUGGGCAGGCUGGGUCCCAGGCCUUGUCUGUCCUUCGCCGCCGUCACCCUGUCAAAGCCGCCGGCUAAGUUUUGUUUUCCUUGAUAAUUUUACAUGAGAAGUUAUAAAAGCUCUGGAUGGUGUUAGCUGUCUCCAGAGAGAACCUGAGUCUGCUCCGGGCAGGCUGUGGUCUUGGUCUUGUUGGACUGAGAUGAUUCGGAGCCGCAUUCCAUUUUGUGGGGAGUCUGAUGUAUUUUACUUCCUGGAGUUGGCCCUUCCAGGGCACACGAGCCACCUAACGGUUCCCCAGAGAUGUCCAUGUCCCCAUGUCCAGAACCUGGGAGUGGGCCCGUUACAUGCAAAGGGGGUCAGAAGUUGCAGGCUGAAUGACAGUGGCUCAUCAGCUGGCCUGAGGAGAUCGCUCUGGGGCUGGGGCUGCAGCUCAGUGGCAGAGCGCUUGCUUGGCCUGUGUGAUGCAAGUCAUGCCCUUGUUGGGGCCUCUUUUCCCUCCUUGGCACAGGGAGGGUCUCAGAAAUGACCUCUGGCUCUUGCCAGCUGUACUUUGGGGCCAGCCCUGGGUUCUGGAGAGCACAGUGCAGUUGUUUGUGGGGUCUAGGAGGUGCCUGGAGGGGGCUUCUGUCACUCACUUCCAUCUUGGUGAAAUAAAGCCAUUUAUGUAGAAAAUAAUGUGAGAGCUCAGCUGCAUGUUACGGGAGUAUUGGGAUGAUUCAGAGCAGCAGACAGCCAAGAUUCCAGUUUGGAUCUAGUGAAAUGAGAGCCCAACAUGGUGAACACUUGUCGCUAAAAAAUAAUCACCUUGAGCCCAGUACUUUCUAGUCAGCAUAGUUUGGUUAAUUAAUCCAAGAUUAAUCAGGAAAGUUAAUUGAAUUCAUAGAACUUAAUGAACUAACGUCAUGAUGGAUCUAGGACCCCGAGGGAGCUGCAGGCAAUCUAUCUUUGGUUGUUUUUGCAAACUGUGAUUUUGACCUGACAAUUGAGUUUUUUUUUUCUUUUCUUUUCUUUUUUUUUUUUUUUUAAUGCAGCAUAGCAGCUAAAUGAAUGGCAGUCGUAUCCAGAUGAAAUUAGUUGGUAUUUUGCAAGCUCUGUAGUUCAGUUUGCUUUCUGGGAAGGGAGUCAAAAGAAAAAGUACUAAAAGCCCUUGAUUAUGUAAGCAUUAGACCAUAAGCAGGGGCUCCGCCAGGAUUUCUCUUACACAUCUUUGCUUCCCCAGUCUUCAGCACAGAGCUUGGUACAGAGUAGGUGAUUAACUAACCGAGGGAAUAAACGACUCUUUCAUCCAUCCAUGCAAUGUACAUUCAAUAAGCUACCCGCUCCAGGCCCUGUGGUAUGAAUUGGAACUAAGAGGUGAAAAGUGAGUUACGGCCCCUGACUUACAGGGUGGCUAUCCCCAACAAGUAAUUGCACACAAUUUGGUGUAGUAAAGGUCAGUGACAAGAAUGGGAGAGGUUGUUGGGCACAGCAGGAAGGACAGAGAAGGGCCACAGGAGCUUGGGGGUUCACAAAGCUGUGUCUUCAAUAGGAGCAGACGCUGGCCUGGAAGAGACCGGAACCGCGUCGCUCGGGGAAGGGCGGGUGCGCAGCAGGGAGCCUGAGUGGCAUGUCUUCCAACUUCUGUGAGCCUCUGUUCCGUCACCUGUGCGAGGGAGAACAGGAGUCCACGGCUGUCACACCCACGAGCGGGCAGCAGGUGCAGCUCACAGUUUCAUGGGACAUUUGUGCAGACAAGAUUGAUCAGCAGCGGGAGGAAAAUAGCCGUUGCCUAGGCAACCAGCCGAUGACUCAUCCUGGCUUUGAAGCAGCCAAAGCCCUGAGACUGCAGUAAUUUUCCGGAUUCUCAGCCGCCCGCCCUCUCCCUCUCCCCCACCUCCAUCCUUCACUGCCUUCUGCACACCCAUGUCCCCAGGUCCCUUAACGCUGGUGGCCGCCCAUGUGUCCUGUGUUCCCUGGGACGGUGCCACAGGCCCCCUCCCACCAUCGUCUAUGAUGGG